rnacentral:ncRNA from 1 species
UCCCGUUAAGGGUAAACCCGGAGAAAUCCGGGGACACAAAGCCGCGGGCCUACAGCGCAGGUGCGCCAAGGCGGCUGGGCUGCCGAA